rnacentral:lncRNA from 1 species
AUGCUGUUGGAAUUCCAGGGGAUCCUGCUGGAAUUUUGGGGGAAUCCCGCUGAAAUUCUGGAUCCCAUUUUUGUUGUCCCUGGAUUUUCUGGCUCCAGCUCUGGGAUUUUUCCCUGGACUUCGGGACUGGGAGCAGCGAGCCCGGAACUGAACUUGGGAAUUUUACACGAGAGAAGGACCCGGAUCCCACACGGGAUCGAGUCGGGAUCCCACGUGGGAAUGUGUCGGGGUUCCGUACGGGAUCGAGUCGGGAUUUCAUGCGGGAAUGUGUUGGGAUUCCGUACGGGAUCGAGUCGGGAUUUCAUGCGGGAAUGUGUCGGGAUUCCGUGCGGGAACGUGUCGGGAUUCCACGUGGAAUCAAGUCAGGGUUCCACAUGGGAAUGCCCAAAUUCCAUAUGGGAGGGCCUGAAUUCCAUACGGGAAUGUCUGAAUCCCAUGUGGGAUCCCAUGUGGAAAUUCCAGGAUCCCGUGUGGGAAUGUCAGGAUCCCCUAUGGGAAUGCCAUGUGGGAUCCCGUGUGGGAAUGCCAGGAUCCCAUGUGGGAUCCCCUAUGGGAAUGUCAGGAUUCCAUGUGGGAAUGCCCGAAUCCCACAUGGGAAUACCGGGAUCCCCUAUGGGAAUGUUGAGAUUCCAUGUGGGAGUGCCCGAAUUCCAUGUGGGAUCCUGUGUGGGAAUGCCAGGAUCCCAUGUGGGAAUACCGGGAUCCCCUAUGGGAAUGUUGAGAUCCCAUGUGGGAAUGCCCGAAUUCCAUGUGGGAUCCCAUAUGGGAAUGUCAGGAUUCCAUACGGGAAUGCCAGGAUCCCAUGUGGGAUCCCGUGUGGGAACGCCAGGAUCCCAUGUGGGAAUACCGGGAUCCCCUAUGGGAAUGUUGAGAUCCCAUGUGGGAAUGCCCGAAUUCCAUGUGGGAUCCCAUAUGGGAAUGUCAGGAUCCCAUGUGGGAAUGCCCAAAUCCCACAUGGGAGUGCCCGAAUCCCAUGUGGGAUCCCAUGUGGGAAUGCCCGAAUUCCACAUGGGAAUUCCAGGAUCCCAUGUGGGAAUGCCCAAAUUCCACAUGGGAAUGCCCAAAUUCCAUGUGGGAUCCCCUAUGGGAAUGCCAGGAUCCCAUGUGGGAAUACCGGGAUCCCCUAUGGGAAUGUUGAGAUCCCAUGUGGGAAUGCCUAAAUCCCAUAUGGGAUCCCGUGUGGGAAUGCCCAAAUUCCACAUGGGAGUGCCCGAAUUCCAUGUGGGAUCCCCUAUGGGAAUGCCCAAAUUCCAUAUGGGAGUGCCCGAAUCCCAUGUGGGAAUGUCAGGAUUUCAGGUGGGAACAUUGGGAUCCUGUGUGGGAAUGGCCAAGUCCCACGUGGGAAUGCUGGGAUCCCGUGUGGGAAUUCCUGGAUCCCAUGUGGGAAUGUUGGGAUCCCGUAUGGGAACGUUGGGAUCCCGUGGGAGAAUGCCCGGGGUCCCUUACGGAAGUGUCUGA